AUUGAACGCUGGCGGCAGGCUUAACACAUGCAAGUCGAGCGAGCGGCGGACGGGUGAGUAAUGUCUGGGAAACUGCCCGAUGGAGGGGGAUAACUACAGGAAACGGUAGCUAAUACCGCACACCAUCAGAUGUGCGCAGAUGGGAGUAGCUAGUGGGUGGGGUAACGGCUCACCUAGGCGACGAUCCCUAGCUGGUCUGAGAGGAUGACCAGCCACACUGGGACUGAGACACGGCCCAGACUCCUACGGGAGGCAGCAGUGGGGAAUAUUGCACAAUGGGGGCAAGCCUGAUGCAGCCAUGCCGCGUGUGUGAAGAAGGCCUUCGGGUUGUAAAGCACUUUCAGCGGGGAGGCGUUACCCGCAGAAGAAGCACCGGCUAACUCCGUGCCAGCAGCCGCGGUAAUUC
rnacentral:rRNA from 1 species